AUUGAACGCUGGCGGCAUGCUUUACACAUGCAAGUCGAACGGUAACAGGGUGCUUGCACCGCUGACGAGUGGCGAACGGGUGAGUAAUGCGUCGGAACGUGCCGAGUAGUGGGGGAUAACGCAUCGAAAGGUGUGCUAAUACCGCAUACGUACUGAGGUAGAAAGUGGGGGACCUUCGGGCCUCACGCUAUUCGAGCGGCCGACGGCGGAUUAGCUAGUUGGUGAGGUAAAGGCUCACCAAGGCGACGAUCAGUAGCGGGUCUGAGAGGAUGAUCCGCCACACUGGGACAGAGACACGGCCCAGACUCCGACGGGAGGCUGCAGUGGGGAAUUUUGGACAAUGGGCGCAAGCCUGAUCCAGCCAUGCCGCGUGUCUGAAGAAGGCCUUCGGGUUGUAAAGGACUUUUGUCCGGGAGCAAAUGCCUGGUGUUAAUAGCACUGGGAGCUGAGAGUACCGGAAGAAUAAGCACCGGCUAACUACGUGCCAGCCGCCGCCGUAAUAC
rnacentral:rRNA from 1 species